UCCGGUUUAACACCGGCAGUCUCCUCAGAGUGCCCAACUUAAUGAUGGCAACUAAGGACAAGGGUUGCGCUCGUUGCGGGACUUAACCCAACAUCUUACGACACGAGCUGACGACAGCCAUGCAGCACCUAUCUCCGCGUCCCCGAAAGGAACAUCGCAUCUCUGCGACUAGCACGGGAUGUUAAGGCCAGGUAAGGUUCUGCGCGUUGCUUCGAAUUAAACCACAUACUCCACCGCUUGUGCGGGCCCCCGUCAAUUCCUUUGAGUUUUAGCCUUGCGACCGUACUCCCCAGGCGGGAUACUUAAUGCGUUAGCUUUGGUACUCAGAGGGUUAACUCUCCAAACACCUAGUAUCCAUAGUUUACGGCGUGGACUAC
rnacentral:misc_RNA from 1 species